AAAGAAGAAGAAGAAGAAGAAGAAGAAUGGAUAUGCUGUAAGACAGGGAGAAGAGACACCAGGGAUGCACAGAGAAAGUUGUGGAAGAAUAAAGAGAGAAACCAUUGGGCCUAGAGUCCCAGAAAGAGACAAAGUAGCAAGCAAAACUCACAUAGAUACUGAGAGGAGAGAGGUGGGAUUGGGAACUUUGGGGUGAAGGAAGAGCCCCUUCUCUAAUGAGGGUAGCCUGGAGCCUCAGAAGAAUGCAGAGGAACAACACUUGUUCAAGCCCAGGAUCUGCCAAGACUGCAGAGACCACUUUCAGCAGAGCUCAUCAUCCAUCCUUAUUCAAAGGCAUUCACUGCUUUAUGGAUAAGGCAAGGAGGAUGGAACAAGAAAGUGGUUGCUCAGCUUUGAGUUUCAAGGCACGUAUUGCCUUAUUGGAGAGACAGAGCCUGAAUGCCAAAAAUACUUGAUUUUCAAGAGCCAGAUUUUUUAGAAAGAAGUUAUUUUUAUUUUGUUUUUUAUUUUAAAAAACUUGACUUUACAAGUCAAUGGCUAUAGAUGAAAUCACCGAGGGCACAGCGUUUAGGAUCACAAGAGGACAGAUUUCUUACUGGAGAUUUGUAGGUGGUUUCACAGACACCAAAUAAAGAGUCUCUGAAGAGUGCUCAGCAUCGUGGCUUUCUCCUGGUUGAAACUGUGGGGGGCAGAGUAAGAGAAAUCCUGAAUAGUUUGAAAGGAGUACAAGAGCAAAGAGGUCCACAGGCUGGCUUUCCAUGGCCCAACAAGCUUUGGAGGACACAGAAUAAACAUGGUAAGAUCAAAAUUGUUGAGAGAGUCAUCUGGCUGAUUGGCAGGUGGGGAUUUGUGCCCUAGACCCUGGACAGUUGAGGGAAAGCAGACAAGCCCUAGGGACCCAUGAAAGCAGUGAAUGAGCAGGUAAAAAAGACUGAAGAGUUGUGUCAGGACAAGGGAGAUGCAGCGUUGGUGGGCUCACUGCCAAGAGAUGCUAGACCUGAGCUGAGUAUCUAUGGCAGCAGGAACCAAAGACAGAAGAAGGUGGCGCCAGCACCAAAUAUCUCAUGCUAGAAAGAUAAGUAAGCCUCCUAGAAUUCAGAUCACAAUGGGGAAGGGAAAUGAUGGGGGUGGGGAUUAGAUUUCAAUUUAUACUCUAAAUUGACAUGUUUCCAUACAAAAGUGGCUAAAAAUGGGGCAUCUGGGUGGUUGGUUAAGCAUCCAACUCUUGGUUUCCACUCUAGUUGUGAUCUCAGGGUGCUGAGAUCAAGCACUGAGUCAGACCCUGUGCUCAGUGCAGAGUCU